rnacentral:rRNA from 1 species
AUUGAACGCUGGCGGCCGGCCUCCCCCCUGCACGUCGAGCGGAUGAAGGGAGCUUGCUCCUGGAUUCAGCGGCGGACGGGUGAGUAAUGCCUAGGAAUCUGCCUGGUAGUGGGGGAUAACGUCCGGAAACGGGCGCUAAUACCGCAUACGUCCUGAGGGAGAAAGUGGGGGAUCUUCGGACCUCACGCUAUCAGAUGAGCCUAGGUCGGAUUAGCUAGUUGGUGGGGUAAAGGCCUACCAAGGCGACGAUCCGUAACUGGUCUGAGAGGAUGAUCAGUCACACUGGAACUGAGACACGGUCCAGACUCCUACGGGAGGCAGCAGUGGGGAAUAUUGGACAAUGGGCGAAAGCCUGAUCCAGCCAUGCCGCGUGUGUGAAGAAGGUCUUCGGAUUGUAAAGCACUUUAAGUUGGGAGGAAGGGCAGUAAGUUAAUACCUUGCUGUUUUGACGUUACCAACAGAAUAAGCACCGGCUAACUUCGUG